rnacentral:rRNA from 1 species
GUGGGGAAUAUUGGACAAUGGGCGAAAGCCUGAUCCAGCCAUGCCGCGUGUGUGAAGAAGGUCUUCGGAUUGUAAAGCACUUUAAGUUGGGAGGAAGGGCAGUAAGUUAAUACCUUGCUGUUUUGACGUUACCGACAGAAUAAGCACCGGCUAACUUCGUGCCAGCAGCCGCGGUAAUACGAAGGGUGCAAGCGUUAAUCGGAAUUACUGGGCGUAAAGCGCGCGUAGGUGGUUUUGUAAGUUGGAGGUGAAAUCCCCGGGCUCAACCUGGGAACUGCCUCCAAAACUGCAUGACUAGAGUACGGUAGAGGGUAGUGGAAUUUCCUGUGUAGCGGUGAAAUGCGUAGAUAUAGGAAGGAACACCAGUGGCGAAGGCGACUACCUGGACUGAUACCGACACUGAGGUGCGAAAGCGUGGGGAGCAAACAGGAUUAGAAACCCCUGUAGUCC